GACGACGCUGGCGGCGCGGAUUAGGCAUGCAAGUCGAACGGUAUCAUCCUUUCGGGGGUGAGAGAGUGGCGAACUGGUGAGUAACACGUAGGUUAUCUACCCUCAAGGACGGGGACAACCCAGGGAAAACUUGGGCUAAUACCGGAUGUGAGCAACUUUUAGUGUUUGAAAGGUGGCGUAAGCUGUCGCUUGGGGAUGAGCCUGCGUCCUAUUAGUUAGUUGGUGAGGUAACGGCUCACCUAGGCAAUGAUAGGUAGGCGGCCUUAACGGGUGGUCGCCCACACUGGGAUUGAGAUACGGCCCAGACUCCUACGGGAGGCAGCAGUCGAGAAUAGUCUACAAUGGUCGGAAGACUGAUAGUGCGACGCCGCGUGAACGAUGAAUCCCUUCGGGGUGUAAAGUUCUUUUAUAUGUGAGCAGUGCUUCUUAUAUUAACAGUAUGGGGAGAGAGAUAUUAGCAUAUGAAUAAGCAACGGCUAACUCCGUG
rnacentral:rRNA from 1 species